rnacentral:misc_RNA from 1 species
GGCAAAAUUAAGACCUGUUGAAUAUGGGGAGAAGUCCUAGCAGAACUUACUUUUAAGUCUAUUCAUGCAUCUUGAUAUGUAUAAAACUUGUAUAAAAUAUUCAUAUUACCCAAUCACGUGUACCUGUUUCUGAUUCAUAAAUCAUAAUGUAGUUACAUUCUUUCAACCUCCUGGAGGAGGUUGAGGUCAACUUCCAUUAGUUACGGUGUUUUCUCAUACAUUUGGCUGAUUGCAAUAAUUGAAUUGCUUGCAAUUUAGAUCUUAUCUUGUUUUGGAUGCACUAGGGAUUUUGUUCUGUGUGUG